rnacentral:rRNA from 1 species
UACGAAGGGGGCUAGCGUUGCUCGGAAUCACUGGGCGUAAAGGGUGCGUAGGCGGGUCUUUAAGUCAGGGGUGAAAUCCUGGAGCUCAACUCCAGAACUGCCUUUGAUACUGAGGAUCUUGAGUUCGGGAGAGGUGAGUGGAACUGCGAGUGUAGAGGUGGAAUUCGUAGAUAUUCGCAAGAACACCAGCGGCGAAGGCGGCGCUCUGGGCCGGUACUGACACUGAGGAGCGAAAGCGUGGGUAGCAAACAGG